GGGGGAUUGUUGAAGGGAAAAUGUGUGAUUUUCAUUUAAAUCGCGGCAUCUCUAAGAGAAAAUGCUUGAUGUUUGCAUUAAAUGUGUGAUUUUCAGGUUACAUGGGAGAUUUUUGAGGAGAAAAUGCGUGAUUUUCGGGAUAAAUGAGGGAUUCUUGAAGAGAAAAUGCAUCAUUUUCGGGUUAAAUGGGGGAUUCUGGAAGAGAAAUUGCAUUUUCUUCUGGUUAAAUGGGGGAUUUUCGAAGAGAAAAUGCACGAUUUUCGUUUACAGGUGAGAUAUUUGUAGAGGAAAUGCGUGAUUUUUUGGAUACAUGGGGGAUUCCUGUAGCAAAACUGUUUGAUUUUGGGGUCCAAUGGGGGAUUUUUGAAGAGCAAAAGUGUGAUUUUCGAGUUAAAUGGGGGAUUUUCCAAGAGAAAAUGUGUGAUUUGUGGGAUGAUGGGGUAUUUUUGAAGAGAUAAAGCAUGAUUUGGGGGUAAAUGCGGGAUUUUCCAAGAGAAAAGGUGAGAUUUUGGGGUUAAAUGGGGGAUUGUUGAAGGGAAAAUGUGUGAUUUUCAGUUAAAUCGCGGCAUCUCUAAGAGAAAAUGCUUGAUGUUUGCAUUAAAUGUGUGAUUUUCAGGUUACAUGGGAGAUUUUUGAGGAGAAAAUGCGUGAUUUUCGGGAUAAAUGAGGGAUUCUUGAAGAGAAAAUGCAUCAUUUUCGGGUUAAAUGGGGGAUUCUGGAAGAGAAAUUGCAUUUUCUUCUGGUUAAAUGGGGGAUUUUCGAAGAGAAAAUGCUCGAUUUUCGUUUACAGGUGAGAUUUUUGUAGAGGAAAUGCGUGAUUUUUUGGAUACAUGGGGGAUUC
ensembl:lncRNA